AUUUACUUUUUACAAUUUUCUUUUCAGGGAUGGCAUUCUGUCUGAAAUAUAAUAGGCCAGAUAAAUCCCCCAAAUGGUUAAAAAUAAUCACUCCAUAUUACCUUUACCUAAUGGAUUGUUUCGGGAGAAUUAUAGAAGAAAGCAAAUGGCUUGAUACUGGUGACUGAUUCCUGCACUCUCUUCACAUUUUAUCAUUAUCCGAAAUCAACUAAUUUGUAAAUAAAUAAUUUCAUAAUGUACUUCAAAACUAUUACUAGUGUUAUCAUUGUGAUCAUUAUUAUAUUAUCUUAAUUUUUUUAUCAGCUUUGUCUAGUUUCAAAACAAUAAUUUAUUACUGAUUUGAUUAUAUUAGUGGAUGUUUUUCUUUAUAUAUUUGUUUGUUAAAGUAUCGGUUACAGUGUAAUGUGUUAUUUAAUCAAUGCACCUAUGUUUAGAAAUUGAUUUUGCAUCUUCAGAUUUUUUGAAUUUAUUCGCCUAAUCAAUUGAUAUCGGUUGUGUUAAAAGCUAUAAUGUCAAAAAGUAAAUUAUUUGUUAGUUAAGUUUUUUCAGAAUGGGGAUACACACAAAAAUGUCAUGUAAUCUCAAGUUCAUUUUUGAAACUAUCCACAUGUAACAUUCCAUAUAAUAAUUGUAUAUUCAUUCCUAUAAUAAUUGUUGUCAACUACAAACUCUUGAACCUGCAAAACUUAGGUAAUGAACAAUUCUAUCAGAUAAAUAUGAUUUGAAUUAACCAUUUGCUCAUUAUUUUAUAGUGCAAGUUUUAUAGUUUCAUUGAAGUGAUUAACGUUGCUACCUAUAACAUUGUUUUUACCUAUCAGGAGUUGGCAUUUUUGUGUAAUUCUUUAAGGAGUCAACUAUAGAGAUAACAUAAAUGAGAAUCAUAAAAAUGCUACUACUUCUUCAAAUAGCUAGAUAAUAGCCUAUUCGCAAAAUAUUCUCUCUCUUCUCUUGAUAUGCCGAAUUCAUACUACAAUUACUGAUAAAAAAUCAUUUGUACUGAAUUGUAGAAAUCUUAGUUCAUAAUUAGUAAAUUGUAAAGAAAAUAGUAUUAUAUAUGUAAUGUUGAACUGAUUUUUUUUCCAAAAAUUAUUAGUGUUGCUCUAAAUAAUAUAUGUUUGUGUUAAAUAUUAAAAAAAAUUCUAGGAGUUUUCAUUAAUGUUUGGCUGUUAUGCACGAAAUUUGAAAAUAAAUAUAUUAUAGUAGUUA